rnacentral:rRNA from 1 species
CUGCUGCCUUCCGUAGGAGUCUGGGCCGUAUCUCAGUCCCAAUGUGGCCGGUCAACCUCUCAGUCCGGCUACUGAUCGUCGCCUAGGUGGGCCGUUACCCCACCUACUAGCUAAUCAGACGCGAGGCCAUCUUCCAGCGAUAAAUCUUUGAUAUCAAAACCAUGCGGUUUCGAUAUGUCAUGCGGUAUUAGCAGUCGUUUCCAACUGUUGUCCCCCUCUGGAAGGCAGGUUCCUCACGCGUUACUCA